GUCGUAUGUUAUAUGUGUCAUACGAGACUGCCGGUAAAAGACCGGAGGAAGGUGAGGAUGAUGUCAAGUCAGCAUGACCUUUAUAUCCAGGGCUACACACACGCUACAAUGGUCUGUACAAUGGGUAGCCAAGCCGCGAGGCGGAGCCAAUCCUGAAAGCAGGCCUCAGUUCAGAUUGCAGUCUGCAACUCGACUGCAUGAAGCCGGAGUUGCUAGUAACCGCAGGUCAGCAAUACUGCGGUGAAUACGUUCCCGGGUCUU
rnacentral:rRNA from 1 species